UGGCUCAGAGGUUAAGAGCACUGGCUGUUCUUCCAGAGGCCCUGAGUUCAAUUCUCAG
rnacentral:tRNA from 1 species